rnacentral:rRNA from 1 species
AUUGAACGCUGGCGGCAGGCCUAACACAUGCGAGUCGAGCGGAUGAAGGGAGCUUGCUCCUGGAUUCAGCGGCGGACGGGUGAGUAAUGCCUAGGAAUCUGCCUGGUAGUGGGGGAUAACGUCCGGAAACGGGCGCUAAUACCGCAUACGUCCUGAGGGAGAAAGUGGGGGAUCUUCGGACCUCACGCUAUCAGAUGAGCCUAGGUCGGAUUAGCUAGUUGGUGGGGUAAAGGCCUACCAAGGCGACGAUCCGUAACUGGUCUGAGAGGAUGAUUAGUCACACUGGAACUGAGACACGGUCCAGACUCCUACGGGAGGCAGCAGUGGGGAAUAUUGGACAAUGGGCGAAAGCCUGAUCCAGCCAUGCCGCGUGUGUGAAGAAGGUCUUCGGAUUGUAAAGCACUUUAAGUUGGGAGGAAGGGCAGUAAGUUAAUACCUUGCUGUUUUGACGUUACCAACAGAAUAAGCACCGGCUAACUUCGUG